ensembl:lncRNA
UUACAGAGUGAAAGAAGCAGUUUCUCCUUAAGGUCAGAGAUUGCAGCAUCUGAGGGCCUCUUCAAAAGAAGAUGUAGUUGAUGAAGGCGUUCUGGAGCAGGACCAGAAAGACCACGACCAAGCAGCCUUGAGAUCUUAGGCAGUGUCUCCCUCAGACCAAAGAACUACAGACUCUUCACAACCUGCUCAAACUCUUGGUACAGGACCUCACCACACGGGUCAAGAAGGUUUCCGUCUCAUUUCUACUCUGAAGCUCACCUUCUCCUGCUCAAACUGCUGACAAAUGUUUCUGCUGCU